GCCAGACUCCUACGGGAGGCAGCAGUGAGGAAUAUUGGUCAAUGGGCUUACGCCUGAACCAGCCAAGUCGCGUGAGGGAAGACUGCCCUAUGGGUUGUAAACCUCUUUUGUCAGGGAGCAAUUGGCGCUACGUGUAGCGUUAUCGAGAGUACCCGAAGAAAAAGCAUCGGCUAACUCCGUGCCAGCAGCCGCGGUAAUACGGAGGAUGCGAGCGUUAUCCGGAUUUAUUGGGUUUAAAGGGUGCGUAGGCGGGCUGUUAAGUCAGCGGUCAAAUGUCGGGGCUCAACCCCGGCCUGCCGUUGAAACUGGCGGCCUCGAGUGGGCGAGAAGUAUGCGGAAUGCGUGGUGUAGCGGUGAAAUGCAUAGAUAUCACGCAGAACCCCGAUUGCGAAGGCAGCCUUCCGGCGCCCUACUGACGCUGAGGCACGAAAGUGCGGGGAUCGAACAGGAUUAGACACCCCAGUA
rnacentral:rRNA from 1 species